AUGGCCCCAAAAUGUCCCAAAAAUAUCCCCAAAUGUCCCCAGAUGUCCCCACCUGCCAUCCGUGUCCGGCUCCAGCCGCGGCCUCUUUGUCCCCGUCCCCGUCCCCGUCCCCUCCCCCGGACGCUUCCGAUGUCCCCAAAGUGUCCCCAAGUUGGCGGCGGUGGCACCCGGACGGAUGUCCCCAAGGUGGUGGCCUUGACCGAUGUCCCCAAGGUGGUGGCUUCGAUCAAUGUCCCCAAGAUGGUGGCUCUUCAUGAUGUCCCCAAGGUGGUGGCCCUGAGUGAUGUCCCCAAGCCGAUGACCUCCAUCAAUGUCCUCAAGUUGGUGACUUUGACCAAUGUCCCCGAGGUGGUGGCCUCGAUUGAUGUCCCCAAGGUGGUGACCUCCAUCAAUGUCCCCAAGCCGAUGACGUUGAUCAAUGUCCCCAAGCCGAUGGCUCUUCAUGAUGUCCCCAAGCCGAUGACCUUGACCAAUGUCCCCAAGAUGGUGGCCUUGAUCAAUGUCCCCAAGGUGGUGGCCCUGAGUGAUGUCCCCAACUUGGUGGCUCUGCCUGAUGUCCCCAAGCCGGUGGCUUUGACCAAUGUCCCCAAACCGAUGACCCCGAUCAAUGUCCCCAACUUGGUGGCCCUGCCCAAUGUCCCCAAGCCGAUGACCUCCAUCAAUGUCCCCAAGCCGAUGACCUUGACCAAAGUCCACAACUUGGUGGCCUCCAUCAAUGUCCCCAAGAUGUUGGCCCUUGAGGAUGUCCCCAACUUGAUUGCUCUUGGUGAUGUCCCCAACCUGGUGGCCCUCCCCGUUGUCCCCAAGCCGAUGACUUUGAUUGAUGUCCCCAAGGUGGUGGCCUCGGUCAAUGUCCCCAAGGUGGUGGCCCUUGAGGAUGUCCCCAAGGUGGUGGCUUUGAUCAAUGUCCCCAACUUGGUGGCCUCCAUCAAUGUCCCCAAAUUGGUGACUCUUCACGAUGUCCCCAAGGUGGUGGCCCUGAGUGAUGUCCCCAAGCCGAUGACCCCGAUCAAUGUCCCCAACUUGGUGACUCUUGGUGAUGUCCCCAAGUUGAUGGCCCCGAUCAAUGUCCCCAAGAUGGCGGCUCUUCAUGAUGUCCCCAAGGUGGUGGCCAUGCCUGAUGUCCCCAACUUGGUGGCCUCCAUCAAUGUCCCCAACUUGGUGGCUCUGCCCGAUGUCCCCAAGCCGGUGACGUCCAUCAAUGUCCCCAACUUGGUGACCUCGAUCAAUGUCCCCAAGCCGGUGGCUUUGACCAAUGUCCCCAUGGUGAUAACCUCGAUCAAUGUCCCCAACUUGGUGACACUUGAGGAUGUCCCCAACCCGGUGGCUCUUGGUGAUGUCCCCAACUUGAUGGCUUUGAUCAAUGUCCCCAAGAUGAUGACCUUGAUCAAUGUCCCCAAGGUGGUGACCUCCAUCAAUGUCCCCAAGCCGAUGAUGUUGAUCAAUGUCCCCAAUUUGGUGGCCCUUGAGGAUGUCCCCAACUUGAUGACUCUUGGUGAUGUCCCCAAGCCGAUGGCUUUGACCGAUGUCCUCAAGGUGGUGGCUCUUCAUGAUGUCCCCAAGCUGAUGACCUUGACCAAUGUCCCCAAGUUGAUGGCUCUUGGUGAUGUCCCCAAGCCGGUGGCUUUGACCAAUGUCCCCAUGGUGAUAACCUCGAUCAAUGUCCCCAACUUGGUGACCUCCAUCAAUGUCCCGAAGAUGGUGGCCUUGACCGAUGUCCCCAAGCCGAUGGCCUCCAUCAAUGUCCCCAACUUGGUGGCCUCCAUCAAUGUCCCAAAGAUGGUGGCCCUGACCGAUGUCCCCAACUUGGUGGCUCUUCACAAUGUCCCCAACCCGAUGACUUUGACCAAUGUCCCCAACGUGGUGGCUUUGAUCAAUGUCCCCAACUUGAUGACUCCUGAGGAUGUCCCCAAGGUGGUGGCCCUCCCUGAUGUCCCCAACCCGGUGGCUUUGACCGACGUCCCCACCCCGCCGUCCCCUCCAGGUGCCACCGCUGUCCCCGUCCCCGGUGCCACCGCGCAGGACGAACUCCACGAUGUCGGCCGGGAGCCCCUCGGCGCUCGGUGGCAUUGGUGACACCUCUGGUGGCACCUCUGGUGGCAUUGGUGGCACCUCUGGUGGCACCGUCCCCCUGGUGGCAUCAUCAGCACCGUCCACUUGGCAGAUUUGGGGACAAGGUGACAACGGUGACAAUGCCACCGCCGGUGCCACCACGGUGCGGGCGUAGCCGAAAUAACGUCCCCGUCCCCGUGGUGGCAUUGUCACCGCGGUGGUGGCACUGUCACCGUCGUCGUCGUCGCUGGUGUCACCUCGCGGGGAUCUGUGGGACAAUGAGGUGACAAUGAGGUGACACUGAGGUGACAAUGAGGUGACAAUAAAGUGACAAUUCGGUGACACUGAGGUGACAAUGAGGUGACACUGAGGUGACAAUGAGGUGACAAUAAGGUGACACUGAGGUGACAAU
ensembl:lncRNA